rnacentral:rRNA from 1 species
AUUGAACGCUGGCGGCAGGCCUAACACAUGCACGUCGAGCGCGUGGCGGGCGGGUGAGUAAUGUCUGGGAAACUGCCUGAUGGAGGGGGAUCACUACUGGAAACGGUAGCUCAUACCGCAUACCAUCAGAUGUGCCCAGAUGGGAUUAGCUAGUAGGUGGGGUACUGGCUCACCUAGGCGACGAUCCCUAGCUGGUCUGAGAGGAUGACCAGCCACACUGGAACUGAGACACGGUCAAGAAUCGUACGGGAGGUAGCAGUGGGGAAUAUUGCACAAUGGGCGCAAGCCGGAUGCAGCCAUGACGCGUGUGUGAAGAAGGCCUUCGGGUUGUAAAGCACUUUCAGCGGGGAGGCGUUACCCGCAGAAGAAGCACCGGCUAACUCCGUGCCAGCAGCCGCGGUAAUUC